rnacentral:misc_RNA from 13 species
AGCUUAUUUUUUUUCGAGGAAACAAUGGGAUCCCCCGCCUGACAACUCCAUCCUCGAACUUGUUUCGCCUGAGCGAGCUGCCAGCUACCAACUACCAACUGCCAGCUACCAUUUGAUUAGCUGCCUCUUUGGAAGUCUUCGCAAUGUGCGAUAUGUCCGCCCCUCGGACGCGCCCCGAAAAAACUGAAGAAAAAGAUACCCGGUUGCCACAGUUGGCACGCGUCAUUAGCCCCGCUUUAGGCCACUUUUGCAACUGCCCCCCUGCCACGCCCCCUUUGCUGGCGGGCAGCGCUACGCGUCAAAUCAGCUUAAGUCCAACACAUAAUGGCCUUAUUGGCCAUUGUUUGCACAUUAUUAUUUAUUUUGCUGCCGCUUCGGCUGCCACUUGCCAUUUCCUCACAUUUCUGGCCCUUUUGUGCGCGGGUCAAGGCGAUAAUGUGGCUAAAACUCAUCUUGACUUGAGUUAGAAAAACCGAAACGUUUUCGAAUCUUAAUUAUCGGGCGAAUGCACGCCUGAGAGAGUUGUCUACAAAAAGGACAUCUCCGGCCAGGUGGUGCUCAUCACAGGAGGAGGCGGCGGCGUUGGACGUUUGAUUGCUCUUAACUUUGCUCGACUUCAGGCCCGCAUUGUCAUCUGGGAUAUAAAUCAAGAAGGUAAAAUCGCACCUAGAUGCUAAUGACGCCGUCACAGCUUCUGCCAGGCGGGUCAAAAAACCCGACGGCUAGUGAAAGCUGUUACAUUUACAAUUUGAUUAGCUAAACAAUAUUUGAUCAUAAUUUUCCGCGCAGCCAUAAAGACAGCUGUGGAUUUGUUGGCCAAACAUGGUUAUGACAACUGCAAGGGC